rnacentral:rRNA from 1 species
UCUACGGGUGGCAGCAGUGGGGAAUAUUGGACAAUGGGCGAAAGCCUGAUCCAGCCAUGCCGCGUGUGUGAAGAAGGCCUUCGGGUUGUAAAGCACUUUCAGUGGGGAAGAAAGCCUUGGGGCUAAUACCCUCGAGGAAGGACAUCACCCACAGAAGAAGCACCGGCUAACUCCGUGCCAGCAGCCGCGGUAAUACGGAGGGUGCGAGCGUUAAUCGGAAUUACUGGGCGUAAAGCGCGCGUAGGCGGUCUGAUAAGCCGGUUGUGAAAGCCCCGGGCUCAACCUGGGAACGGCAUCCGGAACUGUCAGGCUAGAGUGCAGGAGAGGAAGGUAGAAUUCCCGGUGUAGCGGUGAAAUGCGUAGAGAUCGGGAGGAAUACCAGUGGCGAAGGCGGCCUUCUGGACUGACACUGACGCUGAGGUGCGAAAGCGUGGGUAGCAAACAGGAUUAGAUACCCGGUAGUC